UUGCAAUGAUGUAUGAAUUUCUUCACCUGAAGCUGAUUUGUGUGGAACAAAACUUGAGCUUUUUAACCCUGAGCAAU